UGACCAUUCUAUUUCCAAUCAAGAUGUCACGCUUUACCCGUGCGGCUUAAUUAGCUCAUGCAUUGUUGAUAGCGUACCGUGCAUGUGACGCUUUGCAAUCUCGGCGGUGCUGAUUGGAGCUUCAUCCGCUCAGCACACUGUAUUCACAUUCCACUGCACCCUUGCGACCGCUAAAAAUUAUUCUAUUUAAUCUUGUUCUUGUCAGGUUCGUCAAGAGUUUCGCCGUGUGUCGUGCACGUCAGAAAUUGUGCUUGUUUUAACAUGAAAAUGUCUUAUAUACCGACUGGAUUCCCCUCGACGCUUCCUAAUCUCUCUUCUUGGCGGCCAGGAUAUGUCAGCUGUUUGGCGUCAUACUGCCAUCCAGUGGCGGAACGAUGAAUUGAAGUGCCGGCCAAAAUGGAUUGUGUCAUCCAUCAGUGUAUCCAAUGACGUUUCCAUUACUGUAUGGUCUCACAUGGCUGAACAGGAGCAGACAGUCGUGAUGACUGAGAGGCUGUGACUGACCACCAACAACUCUCGUGAUCUUCUUCUUCUGGUGAGAGAAUGUGAUGAUGCGGAGAACUAGCAGGGUGAAGAAGGGAGGGAUUUUACACUGAUGAUAUGGAGCAGUGCAGGAGUGGAUAUGCAGGUGGUUCGGCAACUAUUAUUAAUGCAAGCGAUCGCUUGGGAAAUUCUACACUGGAAACUACAACCGCAAUAUUCAUUUUGAAUAAUAUGUGGUACUCUUUGCUGCAGGCAGGUAGUACAUUCCCAUUUAUGCAAUUUGUUUAUUUCAAAAAUCUUGAAAAGUAGCCACUGUGCCGUUGGGAAGGUGCUACUGCAUAUA